ensembl:lncRNA
UCUAAUCACUUCUACUAACUACUUCUACUUCUACUCACUUCUACUAAGUACUUCUACUUCUACUCACUUCUACUUCUAUUCACUUCUACUCACUUCUACUAACUACUUCUACUUCCACUCACUUCUACUAAGUACUCACUUCUACUUCUAUUCACUUCUACUCACUUCUUCUAACUACUCACUUCUACUAACUACUCACUUCUACUUCUAACUACUUCUACUCACUUCUACUUCUACUUCUACUCACUUCUACUAACUACUUCUACUCACUUCUACUAACUACUUCUACUCACUUCUACUAACUACUCACUUCUACUUCUAACUACUUCUACUCACUUCUACUUCUACUUCUACUCACUUCUACUAACUACUUCUACUCACUUCUACUAACUACUCACUUCUACUUCUAACUACUUCUACUCACUUCUACUUCUACUCACUUCUACUAAGUACUUCUACGUCUAUUCACUUCUACUUCUAUUCACUUCUACUAACUACUUCUACUCACUUCUACUAACUACUCACUUCUACUUCUAACUACUUCUACUUCUACUCACUUCUACUUCUACUCACUUCUACUUCUACUCACUUCUACUUCUACUCACUUCUACUAACUACUUCUACUCACUUCUACUUCUACUCACUUCUACUUCUACUCACUUCUACUUCUAUUCACUUCUACUAACUACUCACUUCUACUUCUACUCACUUCUACUAAGUACUUCUACGUCUAUUCACUUCUACUUCUAUUCACUUCUACUAACACUUCUACUUCUACUCACUUCUACUUCUACUCACUUCUACUAACUUCUACUCACUUCUACUUACUACUUCUACUCACUUCUACUUACUACUUCUACUCACUUCUACUUCUAUUCACUUCUACUCACUUCUAACUACUUCUACUUCUACUCACUUCUAUUCACUUCUACUUCUAUUCACUUCAAUUCACUUCUACUUCUAUUCUAUUCUACUACUUCUAUUCACUUCUACUUCUAACUACUUCUAUUCACUUCUACUUCUAUUCACUUCUACUUACUUCUAACUAUUCCUACUUCUAACUACUUCUAUUCACAUCUACCUACUUCUAUUUACUUUUAUUCACUUCUACUUCUAACCGCUUCUAUUCAAUUCGAACCACAUCUAACUACUUCUACUCACUUCUAACUACUUCGACUUCUAUCCACUUCUACUUCUGACUACUUCUACCUAUUUCUUCUUACUUCUAUUCACUACUACUUCUAACUACUUCUACCUACUUCUAACCACUUCUAUUCCCUUCUACCUACUUCUAUUCACUUCUACUUCUACCUACUUCUAUUCACUUCUAACUACUUCUAAUUCUAACUACUGCUAUUCACUUCUACUUCUAACUACUUCUACUUCUAUUCACUUCUAACCACUUCUACUUCUAACUACUACUAACUUCUAACUACUUCUAUUCACUUCUAAUUUUAAAAACUUUUAACAAUUUGUAAUUAUUUUUUUUUUAACCCAAGGAUAUCAGAAUAUCCAUUAUAUCACAGAAAAGCAUGGGAAAUGGUCUGCACUUUCUUAACCCCUAUGGUUCUAAAGCGCUUUACACUGGUUCUCAUUCACCCAUUCACACACACACACACACCAAUGGUAGCAGAGUUGCCACGCAAGGUGCUAACUUGACAUUAGGAGGAACUUGGGGUUCAGUGUCUUGCCCAAGGACACUUAGGCGUAUGGAGUCAAAUGGGCGGUGAAUCAAACCGCCAACCCUGCGGUUAGUGGACAACCCGCUCUACCACCUGAUCCACAGCCUCCCACAAUGCCACAGCAUAGGGAAUUUUAUCGCAAGAUCAAUAUAUAUUCAUACUGCCCAGGGCUGUUCCUCACUUUUAGCAGAUUUCACUUCAUGAAGCUCGGGGAUUAACAUUAAUCUUACCUCACACCUCGGGACAGUCACCAUACUGUUUAUCUCUAUUAGUAUUUACUCUAAUGCAUAUAAUAGCAAUUCCCAGAGUUAGGGCUAUUUUGUAAACGAUACCACACUAGAGCUAUUCUCUCUUUAGCUUUUUAUAUAUUCAUAUUUCUGACCCUGUAGAGUCUAUAACUGGACAUAUGAAGCAGCUCAAACAAACGUUCACUUUUCCACUUAA